AAAGGCCAAAUAAAGAAUUCUCUCUCAAAUAUGCUACCACCCAAAAUGCACAGUAACAAAAUUGUGAGGCCCCUCAAGCGCUGUCAUGAACAACGUCCCACAAACACAAUGUCCAUACCAAAAAUCUACACCAUGUGACGAUUAUCAUGUGCCCAAACAGUGAUGAGAAAAUAAACAGAUAACUCUUGUUACAACUCUUGCCGCACAUGACUAACAAAAAUAAUAAGGCUAGUUUUUUUUUGCGUGUAAAAUAAUAAGGCUAGUGAAUAUAUUAAGUAGACUCGAAUUGUGAAGCGUCUUCAUAACAUGUGAGGCCAUACAUUAAUUUGCAGGUGCAGCUCCUGUAACCUCUGAUCUGCAUUUGCAAAACCAAUCUUUCAUCCAUUAGAGACAAAAUACUGGCACAAAAAUAGAAGACCGUCAUAAGAUGCUAACGAUGCUUGCUAUUCGAAUGAAGCUGUAACAAGAUCUCAAACGGAAGAAAAUAACAUCACCGUCACCUUAUAACAUACUCCCUCCGUUCAGAAAUAACAUAUUACAGGAGAUUAGUAAGCUAUGAAGGCCAUCUCCAAUGGACGUACGCUAAUUUAGAUGCACUCGCAUUUACAAUGCUAAGCACGUUAGCAUAGGCAAACUGCUGGUGUGGCAGCCACAACGUUGGGAUGAAAAAAAAUCCUUAUAACUAAUUAAAUACAUUACUUAUAAUAACUAAUUAAAUACAUUACUUAUAUAGAACCCAAUGCAUAAAAUACACAAGAAACAGACAGGCGCCAGGCACAAAAUUGAACGCCAGGUUUAGGGUGGAAAUAAAUUCUACACUAGCAAAACUACCGGGAUUAUUUCCCCUAGCAACAACCUUAAGCAUCCCAUUGGAGAUGGCCGAAGUGAUCAGAAGAGACGUGAGCACAUUUGUCCAUUCACAGCCUAGGACGUUCAUACAAAGAUUUAAAUCGCCGGCGAAAUCUGCCCGCGAUUUGCAUGGCUCGGUAAAUCGCCGGAGAUCGCGGCGCUAUCGCGGGCGAUUGUGCCAUUCCUUCGUUAACCGUCGCAGCAAAAAUCUCAGCUGCGAUUCACCUUCGCCCGCGAUUUUAAUCUAUGCGUUCAUACAUCCCAAUCCCACAAAACAAGAAAAUUAUUCUGAUAAAGCUUAACAUAACCAAGAAACCAGGCUCAACAUAACCAACAAACUAACAAGGUAUUGCAAUGUAAACAACUUUACACUAUACAAUAGCAUAUCAAAGAUUAAUCUUCUCUUUUUUCUCAAAAAAAUAAAUAAAUAAUCAUAACCCAUGCCAACAGGACUGUUGUUGAAUUAUAGUUCAGACAAGAUUGGUAUAUACUAUAUCUGAGGUGACAAGCUUAACAUCGCUUGAAAAUUCUUUCUAGUGAGUUAUCAUAGUAUAGCCAUAAGCCAAGCAUGCUGAACUGGCCAGAUCUUGUCAUAAGUUAUCUUCACCAUCACAUCCCCUAAUAUACACAGUUGUCAUAAAUGUUAACUACAAUGAUCAAAACAGUGGAUGCGAUCAUUUAACCAAUGACCACUGCAUUGACAGGUGUUCAAAUUGACCAUGUCAUCUCUAUUUAUACGUACUAAAUAAAAGCACACGAAAUAGCAGUCAUCUCCAACAAGCGACCAAAGGAGGGUUAGGUGGAUUGUGUAAUUGGUUGACUGGAACAGCAAGGAAGUCUCCUGGAGAGGCAAACAAACACAUCGCUCGAAUAAUUCUGAAGAUACCAAGCCAGACAAUGACAUAGCUAGCAUAAAUCCGUUUAGAACAAGGAUACAGGAUACAUGCCCAGUAGUGACAGCUAGUUGCGAGAACUGUGUCAGUGCACUGCAAGAACAUGUUGGAGAAAAUAACUGUACACAUUGAUUUUGUACAGUUUCGUAACCAUGAUUUUCUUAGCAACAGAACUCAAAAGUGUUAUUCUGGUCCACAAUGAUGCCAUGCAUGCCGCCCGAGCAUUGGAGUGCUAGUAUAUUUUGAACUGCAAAAACGUCUUAUAUAUUGGGACAGAGGUAGUACUAUCUAGACACUUCCAAGUCCUGAGAAAUGCAAGUUUGGCCUAAAUUGGGUACAUUUGUUUUCCCUCUUUUUUGCAGAUUGGGUGUAUUUGUUCUAACAAAACACAGCCAGCAUAUGCUGCUAGAAUUAAGGAUACCAAUCAUUAUUCCGUUUUAACUAUAGAGGGUAUAUGCCCUGUAGUGACAGCUAGUUGCAAGAACCAUGCCAGUGCACUGUACUCCAGGAGAAGAGUACAUGUUGGAGAAAUAACUGUAGACAAUUAUCUUGAAAAAGUUUCAUCAGCAAGAUUGUCUUAGCAACAAAAACCACAAGCAUUAUUCUGACCCACUAUUCGUGCCAUGCAUGCUGUCCGGGAAUUGGAAUGGUCGUAUAUGGCACCUUUAAUGAUACUACCUAGACAUUUCCUUGAGAUAUGAAGUUUAGUUGAAAAUGGGUAACUUUAUUAUGGCAUAUUUAUACUGAAGGGCCAGUAUAUAAUUGAAGAAUUUCCACAGCUUUUCACAGUUGGUUUGGUUCCAUGAUACUAUAACUGAAUUGGCAGAUGCCAACACCUACAACUCUUAAGCUCAAACAACACAGGGUUGCUAAAAAAUAGAAUGCUAAAUAUUAUUAGAUAGCCUUCUGUCUUGUUAUCAAAUUGGCGAUGCCAAAUGAUACUUAUUUGUCUUUGGCAAGAGGCUGAAUUUCAAAGGCCCAUGCGUUAAUCAUGAUUCAAUGAUUUGGACUUACUGUUAAAAAUAUCUGCCAAUUAAUCCCUGCUCGGUUGGUCACCAAGAUUAACAGAUUUAUCAGCCGAAGAAUUGGCCGAUUCGCCUACUAAUCCCCUACUCUCCAGCUUACCAAGAAGUUACCAGUUAAUGAUUUCCUGAACAUUAUUUUUUUUCAGUAGUUUAUAUAUGGAGGGAUCAAUCAAUGACAAAAGGUGUGUAUGUUAGUGCAGCAAAAGCAAAUGAAAACAGGGACACUUCUAGUUCAACCAAUGCUACCAUAGAAGCAUAUUUUAACUACAAAAUAAAUUUGCAUCACAUGAUCACAACAUAGAUUUCAGACUGAUUAUACACAAUUGUGUCACAACAUGUGUCAAGCUAAAGACAUGCAGAAGAAAAAACAUCUGCAAUUUUGUGAUUUAGGCCAAGGGAAGAAAAAACAUCUGCAAUUUUGUGAUUUAGGCCAAGGAACUAUUUCUGGGCAGGGAUAUAGGAAGGUACUGAUACUCUGUACCACAGCAUUACUCUAAACAUUUCUCAUUUUAAGGAAAAAAAAUCAACCUAUCAUGAUGUUCAAAUGAACCACGCACAUCAUGUUGCUAUCAUGGGCACCUUACAAGCUGAUGAAUAGGCAGCAAAUAGCAGCAUUUGUUUUUUUAGCGUACACCUCUAGAAAAUAAAGUGCAAUAACAGGACCAAUCAAUUCAGGAAUAGAACAUAAAAUUCCCAUAACAAAAAACUAAACACUAGAACAUGACAUGAUCAACCAUGGAAAGGCAAUUUAAUCAAUGUUUAGAGGGAUGAAAUCAGUUAUCAGACCCUUGUUCAGAUAGUACUUCAGCCUCAACUGCAGUAGGUUUCUUCCACACUCUGUCAGUACUCCUCUCCAGCACUUCGCCGUUCUCGUUCUCCUCGCCUUGGACUGGGGAAACCCUCCUCCCAGAGGACCUAACCUCAGGUGGUGCUUCACNNNNNNNNNNNNNNNNNNNNNNNNNNNNNNNNNNNNNNNNNNNNNNNNNNNNNNNNNNNNNNNNNNNNNNNNNNNNNNNNNNNNNNNNNNNNNNNNNNNNUGUGUGUGUGUGUGUGUGUGUGUGUGCUGUCUUUAGUACACACCCUCUUCCAUACACAUUUUCCUUUAACUAAAAUUAACUGCAACCUUUUCAGUUAACUCAAACAUUCAUUCUCUUCUCUGAACUGUUUGUUAUGUAAAACUGUCGUUGAUGAACUGUUGCUGCUAUGUCAAACUGUUGUUGUUGUAUGCUGCUACUACUGCAUUACUGUUUCUGCUGAUGUACUCAAUUAUUGUUUCUGCUAAUGUACUCAAUUACUGCUGAUGGAGUAUGUCAAAUUGCUGCUGCUAUGAAACAGUUUGAGUCAAAUUGAUGCUACUGCUGCUGCUACUCGAUUACUGCUUCUGGUCUUCUCAAUUACUCAAGUGAUCAAUUGAUUUGCAGGAGAAGGAGCAACAGCCAUGGAGUACUCCAGGAGCAGAUCAUGCCCAAAGGGACCACACCCAGGAGAUGGUCGUGGAUCAAACUGCUGCGCCCCGGGGCUGGUGCUUGUGAUGAGCGACGAGGAGAAGCAGGGACCUGGGAGCGCAUGGAUGAUGGAUGCGCGAAGGAUGAGCGCCUUGGACCUAGAUGAUGGAUUCGCCUGGGGCCUGGGAGCGACGGAGGAUGGACGCCUGGGAGUGCCGAGGAGAAGCGAUUUGAAAUCCUAGGAGCAAAGGGGGAAGACGACGAUGGGGAUAGCGAUUCAAAACAGGGGUAGCGUUGUAAAUUCCUUCAUUUCAAAACAGGGCCUCGAAAUGUUCUCUUCAACGCCAUAUAUUUCAAAACGGUGGGAGCAGUUUCAUGCCUAUAUUGAGCACCAUUGUGUCUCGCUCCCAUCACAAUUGAAUAUUUCUCCAUUGUAUUGUUAUCGUAUAUGAAUACGCAUGAUAAACCUGGAUUACUAUCGAUGCUUCAAAACAUUUGGACCGACACCCAUCAUACAAGUACUGCACAUGUUUCUACUGCUUUUGUACGCACAGAUCUAUUUAGCUAAGAAAAAAAAGGGCCCGCCAAAAAAUUGAAGUUCAGGACAGUCACAUAGUGUACUAGAGGCAAAAUGGUCUAUUUACCUCACACUGAACACCGUAAGUGACAAAAAUAGACUGAAAUGUCACCGAGGGAACAAAAUAAAGUUUUGAGUGUCAAAAUGGGAAGAACAAAUUGUUUUGGGCCAAAAAGGGAAGGGGAUUUUAAGAAUGGGACAAAAAGGGAAGGGGAUUUUAAGAAAGGCCAAAUAAAGAAUUCUCUCUCAAAUAUGCUACCACCCAAAAUGCACAGUAACAAAAUUGUGAGGCCCCUCAAGCGCUGUCAUGAACAGCGUCUCACAAACACAAUGUCCAUACCAAAAAUCUACACCAUGUGACGAUUAUCAUGUGCCCAAACAGUGAUGAGAAAAUAAACAGAUAACUCUUGUUACAACUCUUGCCGCACAUGACUAACAAAAAUAAUAAGGCUAGUUUUUUUUUGCGUGUAAAAUAAUAAGGCUAGUGAAUAUAUUAAGUAGACUCGAAUUGUGAAGCGUCUUCAUAACAUGUGAGGCCAUACAUUAAUUUGCAGGUGCAGCUCCUGUAACCUCUGAUCUGCAUUUGCAAAACCAAUCUUUCAUCCAUUAGAGACAAAAUACUGGCACAAAAAUAGAAGACCGUCAUAAGAUGCUAACGAUGCUUGCUAUUCGAAUGAAGCUGUAACAAGAUCUCAAACGGAAGAAAAUAACAUCACCGUCACCUUAUAACAUACUCCCUCCGUUCAGAAAUAACAUAUUACAGGAGAUUAGUAAGCUAUGAAGGCCAUCUCCAAUGGACGUACGCUAAUUUAGAUGCACUCGCAUUUACAAUGCUAAGCACGUUAGCAUAGGCAAACUGCUGGUGUGGCAGCCACAACGUUGGGAUGAAAAAAAAUCCUUAUAACUAAUUAAAUACAUUACUUAUAAUAACUAAUUAAAUACAUUACUUAUAUAGAACCCAAUGCAUAAAAUACACAAGAAACAGACAGGCGCCAGGCACAAAAUUGAACGCCAGGUUUAGGGUGGAAAUAAAUUCUACACUAGCAAAACUAC
rnacentral:lncRNA from 1 species